rnacentral:rRNA from 1 species
GACGAACGCUGGCGGCGUGCUUAACACAUGCAAGUCGAACGGAAAGGCCCUGCUUUUGUGGGGUGCUCGAGUGGCGAACGGGUGAGUAACACGUGAGUAACCUGCCCUUGACUGUGGGAUAACUUCAGGAAACUGGGGCUAAUACCGGAUAGGAGCUCCUGCUGCAUGGGGGGGGUUGGAAAGUUUCGGCGGUUGGGGAUGGACUCGCGGCUUAUCAGCUUGUUGGUGGGGUAGUGGCUUACCAAGGCUUUGACGGGUAGCCGGCCUGAGAGGGUGACCGGCCACAUUGGGACUGAGAUACGGCCCAGACUCCUACGGGAGGCAGCAGUGGGGAAUAUUGCACAAUGGGCGGAAGCCUGAUGCAGCAACGCCGCGUGCGGGAUGACGGCCUUCGGGUUGUAACCCGCUUUCGCCUGUGACGAAGCGUGAGUGACGGUAAUGGGUAAAGAAGCACCGGCUAACUACGUG